GAAACCCCCUGCAGCACGCAGACCUCCCAUCCUCCAGAGGGCGCCCUACUGCAGACGCACCAGGCUCCAUGCUUGACCCCUCCUUCCUCCUGACAAACGUGUGACGAACGUGUCACUGGGCCCCUGAUGUUCUGAUCUAAUAUGGGUCAAUACAGGGUACUGUUCCAUGGGGUGAUUUGUUUUCUCCAAAACAACCUUAUCUCAACUCUCCCGCUGUGGCGCUGCAGGAGCACUGUGGAUUAACGACACAAUGAGACUGAAAAACUCCAGUCACUGUCCAUAUGUUUGUGUAGCUUAACAAAUCACCUAUUAACACAGCUUAACAAUGGUGUAGCAGUAACUGAAGAAUUGGGUACAGUGUACAAGAAGCCUCUUUGUACACGUGCAGUGGUGAGAUGUAACCAAGUACUUUUAUGCACAAUCACAUGCAGUGUUGAAAACUACUAUUUUUGGCUACUUUCUGCUUCUACUUAACAUUUCAGAAGCAAAUAUGUCACUUUUACAGUACUAAGUUUAUUUGACAUGUGUUAAUACAAUGUUGAACGUUUAGCCUACUUGUGAAAUGAUGUUAUAUAUUAACUUUAGAAGAGUAUAUUGUGGAUGUGAGGUAAACAUAUCUUACACAGAGCAUAAGAUAUUUACUACUUGAAAGUCAGAUCAUUGUGAAUUGGAGCAUGGUGUGUUUAAGAAGUGGUUCUCUCAGUGUCUUGAGCAGUUGAUAUAUCAUUUUUAGCAUCAUUACAAACGUAUCUAGAAGAGAUUAGAGUAUAUUCAACAGCAGUUUAUCAACAUAUGGGGCAGAGUAUAACUAAUCAUAAUGGAAAACCGUGUUAAUCCAGUUUUGACAAAACAUUCUGUGCUGAGGUAUAAAGUAGUGAGAUUAAUAUUAUUCUGCAAUGUAAGGCGUAUUUCUUUUGCAAACUUCAGAAACUCAUAUAAUACUAGUGAAAAACUGCUUUUAGUCAUGAAAGAUUCUUCCAUCGUUGCCUAAAAGCAAGAAUACCAUUGGAAAACACUAUGUGGUGUCAGAAAAUAGCACACAGGAUAUUCUCUUUGCUGUGUUGUUAGAGAGCCUCGCUAAUUCAUUUUCCUGUGUGUCUCACUAAAUUCGGUUUCCUUUUUGUUCAGGAUUGAAGGUCACAUAUUCCAUAAGUGCACCGUUAUCACUUAAAAUGAGUGUGAAGCUGGCACAGUAUAGGCCAUAGGAAAAGUAUUUACUGUCAAAGAUUUAAGCAGUGUAAAGUUACAUUAUAAUAUGAAAGGAAAAUACUAUUAAGUGGACUUUUUAAAGUGUGGUGCCAACUCUCACCAUCUAUCUAGGUUUUUCUCAUGCUAUCAUCUGACCACUAGAGUCCAGUGUUGUUCCAGUAAAGAUAUCCACCCAUG